rnacentral:misc_RNA from 1 species
GUUUGCUUUCCCUCUUCCCAAGUUGUAAUUAUCUCUGCCCUGCUUAUCAGGGUAAUCCUCUUUUGGGUUCAGAUGAAAAGCGAGAUGAAUACUCCCUUGACGUUGGAAGAAGGGUUNNNNNNNNNAUGCCAUUGCAAGGAAGAGGUUGAUCUCUGAUGCCCAGUGUGUCACUCCAUUUACUACCGCAGAAAAUAUGCUGAUAUACGAUUGUGUUUACAAGCUGUGCACCCA